UCGAGAUCACAACUCUAAGCACACUAUGAGCACUCAGUUGGAGCACAGUCAUUUGUUAGUAAAAGUUUGUAGGAAUGCAGUUUCACGCUGCAGGAGCUGAGUAGAAAUCUCUUGGUCAACUGUCACAUUUUCACCUUGUAAAAAUUUAAAAUACAACUGUACAAUGUUUUUGAAUUUCCCUGCGAACCCACAGCAAUUCCAGAAAUAUAACAGUAUCGUGAAACUCUGGGGGAAUGCAAUCUGGUGUGACAGGACCUAAGCUUUGGGAAAACAAUCAGGUUACCAGAAAUUUGCAUUUGUCAAAUUCUUUGAGCUGGAUGAUAGUAACAAACAUUAUUAGGAUGUAAAAUUUGAAUUACAGUUCUCAUAUGAAAUGCAAUCAUUAUAUUAAUAUACAUAUAAAUUAUAUUUUCUUACACUAGCUAACAAAUACCCCCACCCCCUUCCUUAUAAAAUCACAACAUACACGAGCUAUAAUUUAAUAGUGUUCUCGUAGUUUUGAAAAAUCUACAAAUCUACCUCAGGUAUUAAGUAGGAUAUUUUAGGUAAAAAAAAAACCAACUCACUUUUUGGCUUUCUUGGAGUACCUCAUGUUUAUCAAUUAGAAAAUAUCUAAUAUCAAAAUACUCCAGUACCGGGUAUAUUCUGUAAAUAACUUCUCAGCAUGCAUGGUCAAUAGAAAUGUCAUGACCUAAAGCCCAUAUUCCUCUGCUUCAUUUGGUUUGCUAAUGUCACAGCCGGCCAUUUCAAGCUGAGUAACAACUUGUUGUUACAUGCACAUGCUAAGGUCCUCUAUCAGAUGUCAAUCACUAACUGGAUGCUGAUAAGAUGUUCGGGGUGUGCUAAUUAUAGUAACUGUGUGAAAUUUGAGAGCUUUCAACAGCAGAUCACUGCUUUAGGAACAGAUGCAAAAUGUGGUCGCAAAUUUAAUUUAAGAUCAACGCUGCAUUUGUACUUUAUGAAGCAGAACAGAAAUAUUGUUUGGAAAUUGCAGUUGCAAACUUUGCAGGAUGCAUGCAUCAAGGUAAUGAUGAUUGGCAGUGACAAAAUAUUUUGCCUGGUGGAUUUUGAUUUGAAAUCACUGCAUUUGAAUUGUUUGCUGGUCUAGAGGAUGGGGAGCAUUAAUUUGGACAGAGCUUGAUCGGGAUGGAAGAUGCUUGAAGAUUAAGAUUCUAUAGAAGAUCUGGACAUCCCCCUGGGAGGAAAUCAAUGAGGCCACAGAAAAGUUCAAAAGCCAUCCAGCUAGUCAUACAGUAUGAACAGAAGAUAAACAGAACAGAAGAUAAACCUUGAUUCAUGUCAACCAUGUAUCAAAGACCGAAUUAAGUGAAAGUGGUUUCUGGAAUAUGCAGCUCUACUUGGGAACUCCAUCCUGAAUUGGAUGGAUGCGAGCUUUAUGAUUUUAGUAAUUAUAAAAUCAUAUGCACUGAGACAAUUAUUGAUAUAGUUAAAUUUUUAAUUAUAUAAACAUCUAAUCCAAUUACAAACUAAACUUGAUAUUUAAUAUAAAAAGAAAUAUUAAAUUGGUAUUCUUAAUUACAUGCCUAUGUAUUUUUAUUGAAAACAAUUAGUU